AAACAGGGGAUCAUAUCCUUAUCCUUGUGCCAGACCUUUUGUUUUCGUUACCUAAACCUAAAUCCAGACCAACCUGUUAUAUUAUCCUCUUCUCCUACUUGUCUCUGGUUAUCGUUGUCUUUCACAUGAAUCACUGAUAUAAAAGAAUACUCUGAGUCAGAAGAAAGCUUAAAGCAGUGAAAUUGAUUGCAAUUACAAAUGCAAAUGCCUCCUACAGCCUCAUCGUCUUUCACCUGUCCCUUGCCACUUUCCUCUCCUUCUUUUGUAACUUCUUCUACUCCCCCUUCUGUUUGCUGUCUAGCCAAAUUCACUACCACUUAUAAUUGCAAACGACUCUUAUUGCCCUUUUCCUCACGCCUCAAAUUCCAUACUCCCUCUAAUCAACCCACCCUCAUGAUACGAGCUACCGUUUCCAUCGAGAAGGAAACGCCGGAGACCCAGCGGCCGAAUACAUUUCUCCGGGAAUCUGAAGGUGGAGACGUGCGAGCCCGCUUCGAGAAGAUGAUAAGGGACGCCCAGGAUAGUGUGUGCGAGGCCAUUGAGGCAGUCGAUGAAGCGGGUAAGUUCAAGGAGGACGUCUGGUCCAGACCAGGAGGUGGGGGAGGCAUCAGCAGAGUCUUGCAAGAUGGCGCCGUUUGGGAGAAGGCUGGAGUCAAUGUGUCGGUUGUCUACGGAGUCAUGCCCCCGGAAGCUUAUAGGGCUGCCAAAGCUGCUUCUGCCGAUCAUAAGCCUGGACCCAUCCCAUUUUUUGCUGCUGGGAUCAGCUCUGUGUUGCAUCCAAAGAACCCAUUCGCACCAACAUUGCAUUUUAAUUAUCGUUAUUUCGAGACCGAUGCUCCCAAAGACGUCCCUGGAGCACCUAGGCAAUGGUGGUUUGGUGGUGGGACUGAUUUGACUCCUGCUUACAUCUUUGAGGAGGAUGUGAAGCAUUUCCAUUCAAUUCAAAAAAAAGCCUGUGAUAAAUUUGACCCAACUUUUAUCCCCGGUUCAAAAAGUGGUGUGAUGACUAUUUCUAUAUUAAGCAUCGAGGUGAGAGGCGAGGACUUGGAGGAAUAUUUUUUGAUGAUCUAAAUGACUAUGAUCAAGAUAUGCUUCUUUCCUUUGC
rnacentral:misc_RNA from 1 species